rnacentral:rRNA from 1 species
GAGGAAUAUUGGUCAAUGGACGCAAGUCUGAACCAGCCACUUAGCGUGAAGGAAGACUGCCCUAUGGGUUGUAAACUUCUUUUAUAAGAGAAUAAAGUGCGUUACGUGUAACGCAUUGCAUGUAUCUUAUGAAUAAGGAUCGGCUAACUCCGUGCCAGCAGCCGCGGUAAUACGGAGGAUCCAAGCGUUAUCCGGAUUUAUUGGGUUUAAAGGGUGCGUAGGCGGACUGGUAAGUCAGCUGUGAAAGUUUGCGGCUUAACCGUAAAAUUGCAGUUGAUACUGUCAGUCUUGAGUGUGCAUGAGGUGGGCGGAAUUUGUGGUGUAGCGGUGAAAUGCUUAGAUAUCACGAGGAACUCCAAUUGCGAAGGCAGCUCACUGGGGCAUAACUGACGCUGAUGCACGAAGGUGUGGGUAUCAAACA